rnacentral:rRNA from 1 species
GACGAACGCUGGCGGCGUGCUUAACACAUGCAAGUCGAACGGAAAGGCCCCUUUGGGGGUACUCGAGUGGCGAACGGGUGAGUAACACGUGAGUAACCUGCCCUUGACUUCGGGAUAACUUCAGGAAACUGGGGCUAAUACCGGAUAGGAAUCCUUGCUGCAUGGUGGGGGUUGGAAAGCUUCGGCGGUUUUGGAUGGACUCGCGGCUUAUCAGCUUGUUGGUGGGGUAGUGGCUUACCAAGGCUUUGACGGGUAGCCGGCCUGAGAGGGCGACCGGCCACAUUGGGACUGAGAUACGGCCCAGACUCCUACGGGAGGCAGCAGUGGGGAAUAUUGAACAAUGGGCGGAAGCCUGAUGCAGCAACGCCGCGUGCGGAUGACGGCCUUCGGGUUGUAAACCGCUUUCAGCAGGGGCGAAGCUUGUGGUGACGGUACCUGCAGAAGAAGCACCGGCUAACUACGUG